rnacentral:rRNA from 1 species
AUUGAACGCUGGCGGCAGGCUUAACACAUGCAAGUCGAGCGGAGAUGAGGUGCUUGCACCUUAUCUUAGCGGCGGACGGGUGAGUAAUGCUUAGGAAUCUGCCUAUUAGUGGGGGACAACAUUCCGAAAGGAAUGCUAAUACCGCAUACGUCCUACGGGAGAAAGCAGGGGAUCUUCGGACCUUGCGCUAAUAGAUGAGCCUAAGCCGGAUUAGCUAGUUGGUGGGGUAAAGGCCUACCAAGGCGACGAUCUGUAGCGGGUCUGAGAGGAUGAUCCGCCACACUGGGACUGAGACACGGCCCAGACUCCUACGGGAGGCAGCAGUGGGGAAUAUUGGACAAUGGGGGGAACCCUGAUCCAGCCAUGCCGCGUGUGUGAAGAAGGCCUUAUGGUUAUAAAGCUCUUUAAGCGAGGAGGAGGCUACUGAGACUAAUACUCUUGGAUAGUGGACGUUACUCGCAGAAUAAGCACCGGCUAACUCUGUGCCAGCCGCCGCAGUAAUAC